GAGCAUGAGCAGGCAAGGGGCAAAGAGAGAGGAAGACACAGAAUCCAAAGCAGGCUCCAGACUCUGAGCUGUCAGCACAGAUUCUGACAUGGAGCUCGAACUCCCAAACCAUGAGAUCAUGAUCUGAGCUGAAAUCAGACGCUUAACUGACUGAGCUACCCAGGCGCCUCAAGCCUGUUUCUUUUUAUAAUAACUACUCAGAUUUGCAGGAAAUUUCAUAUAUAACACAUAAUUGAAAAUAUAGUUCUAUAUUAUACUAUAGUACUACAAAAAUAAACAAUUUUACAUUAUUCAUCUCAUUUCUCUCUAUUAAUAAUAGUUACUCAGGAGGUGAAUAGCUUAUCCCAGAAUUUGCUAUGAAUUAACUUUCUGAUACUCCAUCAUCUACAGUUUUUUUUUUAGCAUCUACAGUUUUUAUGAAUAUUAUGCUAGCAAGAAGUAAUCAUUAGAUUAGAUUUACUAGUACUUACUAGUAAAAUGUUUUCUCUCUGCAUUUCCUUUUCCAGAGUCACCCCAAGGACAAAGUGUUGAAAUAAUAGUUUGUUUUUAGUAUUCUUAACCUUCCCUUUUUGCACUCCUCCCCACCCCCCCCCCCCACUGCCGACACUAUAAUUACUUUUUACUACAGGUACUAAGUACCCUUCUGCUAUCCUCUCGCAGUACCCGUGAAAACUGGAUCUCAGACAUGAAUAUGAUACCUGCAUUUUACAACCUGACAUGAUUUUAACCCAAUGUGUUAAUUCUCUCAGGGCAUCUGCUUUUAGUUUUUUAUCUCUAUUUGUGGAAUGAACAAAAGGCCCUAACUUCUACUAAAACAAUUUAAAGCUUUACUGUGGGAGAUCCUCCAGUGGGGGAAUAUAUGGAAAGAGUAAGGCUUCAGUAUAACGGAGGUGGCAGCUUAUAUUGCUUCUAUAAGAUUCAUUCUAAACUUAAUUAUUUUAUUGAUUCUAUAGUGAAAUUGUUAUCAGGCUUCACUAGUUUUCAUGUACAGAGGAAAUAAUUUAACCCAAAGGUCUUUUUCACUGUAAUCCUUUAUCCAUAUGAUCUCCAGAGGUGUUUUAUUCCCUCUUAAACACAAUGCAUUUGAUCAUAUCACUGUUUUCAAGAUCCCCUUAUGAUCUUAGAAUGACUGCUAUUGUUCCAGACAUCAUAUCCAUGUUCCAGGUGGGAACAUUUAUAAAAUUUCUUUCUUGGAAGUUCCAUGCUUAUGUCUCAUUGCUACCUCUAUCUUGAAAAGCUCUUUUUUUAAUUUUUUUUUUUAUUUUUAAUAAGGUGGUUACUUUGUCAUCUCUAGCGGUUUAGAUGUAUUUGUCUUAUUCUUUUUAGUAUUUCCUAACAGGGUCCAUUUGGCCCAGGCCUCAGACUCAAUAUAUGCACCCUGCAUUUGUUAAUUUAUUCUUAAGAAAUAUGGUGGCUAUAUUGCUAACUCCUAUGACAUAUGAAUCACCUGAAGUGGGGCACAGAGUUAUUCUUGUUACCCUCAUAACAUAAAUUAUUUUAGUUUCAUGCCAUUAAAAAUAUUGUUACUCUGAGAACAAUUAUUAAUUGGGGUCUGAAACUCAGUGAUUAAAUCAAGUUCUCCUAGGUAAUAAGGGCAAAUAUAUUGAACAAAUGAGAGCCAUAUACCAGUUAAGGUUCAUCUUUCUAGAUUAAAAUGUAGUAUUGUCAAACUGAGGGCCUCUGGCCAUGUAAUUAUUGCCCUGAAACAAAACCCAUGUGAAGAAAAAUAGAUUUAUUGCCUUUCUUCCUAGGGAUUUAUAGUUUGUUCCUUCUUUCAUUCACAUAACAAUUACUGAAUUCCAAAUUUAUCCCACAUACUCAUCUGUGGGCUGGAACACUGCCAUGGUUACUGGAAUAACUGAGCAAGAAUAAGCAGAGUAGUUGUAUUAAUGAAAGCAAGAAGUAAAUACUAAUAUUUCUGAUACCUGAAUUCAUAGUGAAUGGAGAAACUUAUUCCUAUUGAACAUGAUUUUGCUUUGUUCUUAAUGCACCCUGUUUUUAAUUUGAAGAAUGUUAUUGAAAGGUUAUUUUCUUAGAAAUAUUUAUAGAAAUCCUAAGAAAUGGUUGAAUCAUGUUUUUAAGACCCCCAGUGUCAACCACCUGUACUAGAAGGAUAAAAGUAUUUUAAGGGGCUUCCACUAUACUAUGAGUCACUGAUUGCUCUCUUUUUAAUACUUUCUUGUAAUCAUCUACAUGUAUAAUAAUGGCUGUGGAAUUAUCAGAAGGACCUUUGAUAAUACUGCUUCCUGCUUAUCCAAAACAAGAGCACUCAUACAGCAGGAAAUUCAGUAUUCAGCAUUAGUCAGUCAACAUGUCCCUGCUGUGUGUGUGGAGUGCUCUUCUAAAUUCUGUGGGGUGUGAUGAUGGCAGUAUUUCCUGGAGAAGCAUGCUGUAUAAAGGAGAACUGGAAUAAACACAAGUGUGACAGAACUGCAACUAAGUGAUUGGAAGAAAAGGAGCGUGGUUUCGGGCUGCGCGCUGACUAGGGCGCCACUCGCGAGGCCGCAACACAGCCCGCAGCGCCGCCAUCGGCGAGCCAGAGCCUUCCAGCCCCGGAGCAUCGAACUGCGGACACACUUCAGCUGGGCGAGUUUGAGGAGCCGCCUGCAACCUUCGAGUGAGCUCGGCGCGCACAGAGCACCGCGCUGGACGCGCGCCUCGGCGCAGACAAGAGGACUGGAUUUUACAAAACAUGAGUUUUACAUAGAAGAUAGAGAACAUGGAAAAUACUUCAAGCAAAGUGACAUCAACCUGAAGGUUUAAUUCUGAUCCCAUCCAGGACUCCAUAAUAUAUUAAGGUAUCAUGUCUCCUUAGGCUCGAAGAAGGUGUUUUCAUUCAAUGACCUUGACAGUUUUGAGUGCUGAUAAGGGCUUCCUGUCAAGAAGAAGAACAAAUUAUGAUUUCUAAUAUCUUGGUGGUGGUGGUAAUAAAGAAAAGGAUUAGGGAGAGACAAAGCUGCAUGAUGCCACUACCUUCACAGAUGGGGAUAAUGGAAAGUUUCUGGUGGAAUGUGAGAUGAGCGAGUGAAGGAACAAGAGCCAUUAGAUACCAAAUUCACCUACUUCUCAGUUGUGCCCGGUUCCUGGGCACAACAAUGGCGGUAACGUUGAGCCCCCCUGCAGCCUUGGGAGUGGAGAGCUGCUGCUCCUGAAAGUCUUUCUUCUCCCUACCCUAUUGGAAUACGUCCGCAAAACUGAUAAGGCAAAUUCCCCGUUCCUCCUCAUGCAAAAGUGCUGUUGCCCACAGUUAAAACCGUGCAAAUGUCAGAGAGUCCUCAGGGAGUUAAUCUUAUUCCCAAAGAAGAGGUCCCCAGUCAACUGGCCACUCCCAAGGAACUCUCCAAGGUUCCAGGAUGUGGACGUAGGAGACAGGGUUCCUGACGCAGCCUGGGACUCGCAAAACCUCCACAGGAAUUCCCAUAGUGACCCCACGUCAUCAGUGUGAAGAGGUAGGGUAGGAUUCCUCCAGAGAAUUCACGCUUUAGGGUUUGAUCAAUACUCUCUAGGGAGGGGCAAUGGAACCCUAGUAUGAAACAAACGACGUGGAGUUUACAAACACUUCCGCCACGAAUGGAGAUCCAGCCGAGGGUUCCGAAGUGAAAUAUCUCAACAGACCAACUUAGAAGAACUAAUUUUGUAUUCCUAAUAAAAAUAAACUCAAAACCAAAUACAAGUA